rnacentral:rRNA from 1 species
UGGGGAAUUUUGGACAAUGGGCGAAAGCCUGAUCCAGCAAUGCCGCGUGUGUGAAGAAGGCCUUCGGGUUGUAAAGCACUUUUGUCCGGAAAGAAAUCCUUGGCUCUAAUACAGUCGGGGGAUGACGGUACCGGAAGAAUAAGCACCGGCUAACUACGUGCCAGCAGCCGCGGUAAUACGUAGGGUGCAAGCGUUAAUCGGAAUUACUGGGCGUAAAGCGUGCGCAGGCGGUUUGCUAAGACCGAUGUGAAAUCCCCGGGCUCAACCUGGGAACUGCAUUGGUGACUGGCAGGCUAGAGUAUGGCAGCAGGGGGGUAGAAUUCCACGUGUAGCAGUGAAAUGCGUAGAGAUGUGGAGGAAUACCGAUGGCGAAGGCAGCCCCCUGGGCCAAUACUGACGCUCAUGCACGAAAGCGUGGGGAGCAAACAGGAUUAGAUACCCUGGUAGUCCACGCCCUAAACGAUGUCAACUAGUUGUUGGGGAUUCAUUUCCUUAGUAACGUAGCUAACGCGUGAAGUUGACCGCCUGGGGAGUACGGUCGCAAGAUUAAAACUUAAAUGAAUUGACGGGGUCAUAGCUGUUUCCU